GACAGAGGGGGCAAGCGUUGCUCGGAAUUACUGGGCGUAAAGGGCGCGUAGGCGGGAUGGCAAGUCGGUCGUGAAAUACCUCGGCUCAACUGAGGAGCGUCGAUCGAAACUGCCGUUCUUGAGGGUUGCAGAGGAGAGUGGAAUUCCUGGUGUAGCGGUGAAAUGCGCAGAUAUCAGGAAGAACACCAGUGGCGAAGGCGGCUCACUGGACCGGUAUUGACGCUGAUGUGCGAAAGCGUGGGGAGCAAACAGG
rnacentral:rRNA from 1 species